UCCGAGUUGACCCCGGCAGUCUCCCAGUGUUUCCACCAGCUUUCACCAGUAUGUCAAGCCCAGGUAAGGUUCUUCGCGUUGCUUCGAAUUAAACCACAUGCUCCACCGCUUGUGCGGGCCCCCGUCAAUUCCUUUGAGUUUCAGCCUUGCGGCCGUACUCCCCAGGCGGGACACUUACUGCGUUAGCGACGGCACCGAGGGGGUCGCUCCCCCCGACGCCUAGUGUCCAUCGUUUACGGCGUGGACUAC
rnacentral:misc_RNA from 1 species